rnacentral:misc_RNA from 1 species
GAUGAAGAACGCAGCGAAAUGCGAUACGUAAUGUGAAUUGCAGAAUUCAGUGAAUCAUCGAAUCUUUGAACGCACAUUGCGCCUGCCAGCACUCUGGCAGGCAUGCCUGUUCGAGCGUUAUUUCAACCAUCAAGCCCUAGGCUUGCGUUGGAGCCCUGCGGCUGCCGCAGGCCCCUAAAAGCAGUGGCGGGCUCGCUAUCACACCGAGUGCAGUAGAUUACUCUUCGCUCAGGGCGUGUGGCGGGUUCCAGCCGUGAAACCCCCUACUUCUCAAGGUUGACCUCGGAUCAGGUAGGAAUACCCGCUGAACUUAAGCAUAUCAAUAAGCGGAGGA